rnacentral:rRNA from 1 species
AAGGAAGGGGGGAUCGCAAGACCUCUUGCUUUAGGAGCGGCCGAUGUCGGAUUAGCUAGUUGGUGAGGUAAAGGCUCACCAAGGCGACGAUCCGUAGCGGGUCUGAGAGGAUGAUCCGCCACACUGGGACUGAGACACGGCCCAGACUCCUACGGGAGGCAGCAGUGGGGAAUUUUGGACAAUGGGCGCAAGCCUGAUCCAGCCAUGCCGCGUGAGUGAAGAAGGCCUUCGGGUUGUAAAGCUCUGUCGAAUGGGAAGAAAAACUGUGACGAACAGAAUUGACGGUACCAUUAGAGGAAGCACCGGCUAACUCCGUG